rnacentral:rRNA from 1 species
GUUCUACCUUGACGAAUUGUAGUUUAAAGAAGUGUUUCCUGUUAGAGGAGUAGCAAAAGUUCCUUGGAAUGGGACAUCAUAGAGGGUGAGAAUCCCGUAUUUGGUUAUUCUUUCUAGCUUUGUGAUACACUUUCAAAGAGUCGGAUUGUUUGGGAAUGCAGUCCAAAAUGGGUGGUAAAUUUCAUCUAAAGCUAAAUAUUGGCGAGAGACCGAUAGCGGACAAGUACCGUGGGGGAAAGAUGAAAAGAACUUUGAAAAGAGAGUUAAACAGUACGUGAAAUUGUCAAAAGGGAAGCGUUUGACACCAGUGUUGUUUUUCCGAAAAUCAAUUAAGAAGGGCUUGAUUUUGUGUUGUAUUGACCUUAUCAGCUUUCUUCACUCUUUUUCGAGUCUUUCUU